rnacentral:tRNA from 1 species
GGGCCGUUAGCUCAAAUGGCUAGAGCGCUGGUUUUGCACACCGGAAGAUAGGGUUCGAGUCCCUACGCGUCCA